AGAGUUUGAUCAUGGCUCAGAACGAACGCUGGCGGCGUGGAUAAGACAUGCAAGUCGGACGGGAUUAUUUCUGUAGCAAUACAGGAAUAAUUCAGUGGCGAACGGGUGCGUAACACGUGGGCAAUCUGCCUAAAAGUGGGGGAUAGCUCGGCGAAAGCCGGAUUAAUACCGCAUGUGAUGAGAAGCGACAUCGCUUUGAAAUCAAAGCCGGGGCAACCUGGCGCUUUAUGAGGAGCCCGCGGCCUAUCAGCUAGUUGGUGAGGUAACGGCUCACCAAGGCGAUGACGGGUAGCUGGUCUGAGAGGACGACCAGUCACACUGGAACUGAGACACGGUCCAGACACCUACGGGUGGCAGCAGUCGAGAAUUUUUCUCAAUGGGGGAAACCCUGAAGGAGCGACGCCGCGUGGAGGAUGAAGGCUUUCGGGUUGUAAACUCCUGUCAUUUGGGAACAAGGUGCACCGGUUAACUGCCGGAGUAUUGAUAGUACCAGAAGAGGAAGAGACGGCUAACUCUGUGCCAGCAGCCGCGGUAAUACAGAGGUCUCAAGCGUUGUUCGGAUUCAUUGGGCGUAAAGGGUGCGUAGGUGGCGCCGUAAGUCGGGUGUGAAAUCCUGAGGCUUAACCUCAGAACUGCAUUCGAUACUGCGGUGCUUGAGGACUGGAGAGGAGACUGGAAUUCAUGGUGUAGCAGUGAAAUGCGUAGAGAUCAUGAGGAAGACCAGUGGCGAAGGCGGGUCUCUGGACAGUUCCUGACACUGAGGCACGAAGGCCAGGGGAGCAAACGGGAUUAGAUACCCCAGUAGUCC
rnacentral:rRNA from 1 species